CCCGCCUUAGCUCAGUCUGGCUGGAGCGGCCGGCUGUAGACCCUAUGGCUGUUACCGGCAGGUCCCCGGUUCAAAUCCGGGAGGCGGGACUA
rnacentral:tRNA from 1 species